rnacentral:rRNA from 1 species
UACGUAGGUGACCAGCGUUGUCCGGAUUUACUGGGCGUAAAGAGCGCGCAGGCGGUCGUUCAAGUCGAGUGUGAAAGCCCCCGGCUCAACUGGGGAGGGUCACUCGAUACUGAUCGACUUGAAGGCAGGAGAGGGAAGCGGAAUUCCCGGUGUAGUGGUGAAAUGCGUAGAUAUCGUAAGGAAGACCAGUGGCGAAGGCGGGUCUCUGGACAGUUCCUGACGCUGAGGCACGAAGGUCAGGGGAGCAAACGGGG